GUUACCAAUGCUGAGAGUAUGUUAUAAGCCACGGAUUAUUAUUAAUCCAGUUCUGUGCACCUGAAGUACAAA
rnacentral:snoRNA from 10 species